UACGUAGGCAGCAAGCGUUGUUCGGAGUUACUGGGCGUAAAGAGUGCGUAGGCGGUGCCCUAAGUCUGUUGUGAAAUCUCCCGGCUUAACUGGGAGGGUGCGGUGGAAACUGGGGUGCUUGAGUGUGGGAGAGGUUAGCGGAAUUCCUGGUGUAGCGGUGAAAUGCGUAGAUAUCAGGAGGAACACCGGUGGUGUAGACGGCUAACUGGACCACGGCUGACGCUGAGGCACGAAAGCGUGGGUAGCAAACAGG
rnacentral:rRNA from 1 species